rnacentral:rRNA from 1 species
AUUGAACGCUGGCGGCAUGCCUUACACAUGCAAGUCGAACGGUAACGCGGGGCAACCUGGCGACGAGUGGCGAACGGGUGAGUAAUAUAUCGGAACGUGCCCAGUAGUGGGGGAUAGCCCGGCGAAAGCCGGAUUAAUACCGCAUACGACCUACGGGUGAAAGCGGGGGAUCGCAAGACCUCGUGCUAUUGGAGCGGCCGAUAUCAGAUUAGGUAGUUGGUGGGGUAAAGGCCUACCAAGCCUACGAUCUGUAGCUGGUCUGAGAGGACGACCAGCCACACUGGGACUGAGACACGGCCCAGACUCCUACGGGAGGCAGCAGUGGGGAAUUUUGGACAAUGGGCGCAAGCCUGAUCCAGCCAUGCCGCGUGCGGGAAGAAGGCCU